AAUCAACGCUGGCGGCGUGCCUCAGACAUGCAAGUCGAACGCGAAAGUUUCCUUCGGGGAGCGAGUAGAGUGGCGCACGGGUGAGUAACACGUAGGUAAUCUACCUUCGGAUGGGGAAUAACAAUCGGAAACGGUUGCUAAUACCGCAUAAUGCAGCGGCACCUAAUGGUGACAGUUGUUAAAGCGGGGGAUCGUAAGACCUCGCGUCUGAAGAGGAGCCUGCGGCGGAUUAGCUUGUUGGUAAGGUAAUGGCUUACCAAGGCGACGAUCCGUAACCGGCCUGAGAGGGCGGUCGGGUCACACUGACACUGACAUACGGGUCAGACUCCUACGGGAGGCAGCAGUCGGGAAUUUUGGGCAAUGGGCGAAAGCCUGACCCAGCAACGCCGCGU
rnacentral:rRNA from 1 species